rnacentral:rRNA from 1 species
GACGAACCGAGCGAACGUUGUUCGGAAUCACUGGGCUAAAGGGCGCGUAGGCGGGCUGUCAAGUCUGGGGUGAAAUCCCGCGGCUCAACCGCGGAACUGCCUCAGAUACUGACGGUCUCGAGGGGGUAGGGGCGAGCGGAACUGAUGGUGGAGCGGUGAAAUGCGUUGAUAUCAUCAGGAACUCCGGUGGCGAAGGCGGCUCGCUGGACCCCUUCUGACGCUGAGGCGCGAAGCCAGGGAG